rnacentral:rRNA from 1 species
CUGCUAUUGGAGUUCGAUUAAGCCAUGCGAGUCGAGAGGUGCAAGACCUCGGCAUACUGCUCAGUAACACGUGGAUAAUCUACCCUGUGGAGGGGGAUAACCCCGGGAAACUGGGGAUAAUACCCCAUAGACUAUGGAUGCUGGAAUGCUCUGUAGCCGAAAGGUCCGCCGCCACAGGAUGAGUCUGCGGCCGAUUAGGUUGUUGUUGGGGUAACGGCCCAACAAGCCUGUAAUCGGUACGGGUUGUGGGAGCAAGAGCCCGGAGAUGGAUUCUGAGACACGAAUCCAGGCCCUACGGGGCGCAGCAGGCGCGAAAACUUUGCAAUGCGGGAAACCGUGACAAGGGAACUCCGAGUGCCCGUAAAUUCGGGCUGUCCGCCAGUUUAAAUAACUGGUGAAGAAAGGGCCGGGCAAGACCGGUGCCAGCCGCCGCGGUAAUACCGGCGGCUCGAGUGGUGGCCACUAUUACUGGGCUUAAAGCGUUCGUAGCUGGCUUGUUAAGUCUCUGGGGAAAUCUU